AUCUAGUUGACGAGUCCCAAGUAGGACGAAACACGCGUCCUGGAU
rnacentral:hammerhead_ribozyme from 1 species